GCCGCGAUGGCGGAACUGGUAGACGCGCACGACUCAAACUCGUGUGGAGGAAACUUCAUGAGGGUUCGACCCCCUCUCGCGGCACAA
rnacentral:tRNA from 1 species